GCUCUCUCACUCCUCUCUCACUCCUCUCUCUCUCCUCUCUCUCUCCCCUCUCUCUCCUCUCUCAAUCCUCUCUCUCUCCUCUCUCUCUCCUCUCUCUCUCCUCUCUCUCUCCCCUCUCUCUCCUCUCUCACUCCUCUCUCUCUCCUCUCUCACUCCUCUAUCACUCCUCUCUUUCUCUCUCCUCUCUCUCUCCCCUCUCAUCUCUUUCGCACUCCUCUCUCUCUCCUCUCUCUCUACUCUCUCAAUCCUCUCUCUCUCCUCUCUCUCUCUCCUCUCUCAAUCCUCUCUCUCUCCUCUCACUCCUCUCUCUCACUCCUCUCUCUCUCCUCUCUCUAUCCCCUCUCUCUCCUCCCUCAAUCCUCUCUCUCUCCUCUCUCACGCCUCUCUCACUCCUCUCUCUCUCCUCCCUCAAUCCUCUCUCUCCUCUCUCACUCCUCUCUCUCUCCUCUCUCACUCCUCUCUCACUCCUCUCUCACUCCUCUCUUUCUCUCUCUCUCCCCUCUCUCUCCUCUCAUCUCUUUCUCACUCCUCUCACUCUCCUCUCUCACUCCUCUCUUUCUCUCUCCUCUCUUUCUCUCUCCUCUCACUCCUCUCUACUCUCAUCUCUUUCUCACUCCUCUCUUUCUCUCUAAUCUCUUUCUCUCUCCUCUUUCACUCCUCUCGUGCUCUCUCCUCUCUCACUCCUCUCUCUUUCUCUCUCCUCUCUCUCUCUCACUCCUCUCUCUCUCUCUCUCUCUCUCUCUCUCUCCCCUAUUUCUCCUCUCACUCCUCUCUUUCUCUCCUCUUUAUCUCUACUCUCUCUCUCACUCCUCUCUCUCUCCUCCCUUUCUCUCUCCCCUCUCUCUCCUCUAUUUCUCUCUCCUUUCUUCCUCUCUCCUCUCUUCCUCUCUCCUCUUUCUCACUCCUCUCUCGCUCUCUCCUCUCUUUCUCUCCUCUCUUUCUCUCUCCCCUCUCUCAUCUCUCUCUCACUCCUCUCUCUUCCCUCUUCCUCUCUUCCUCUCUCCCCUCUCUCUCUCCUCUCUCUCUCCUCUCUCUCUCCUCUCUUUCUCUCUCCUCUCUUUCUCUCUCGCUCUCUCCCCUCUUUCUCUCUCCUCUCUCGCCCCUCUUUCUCUCUCCUCUCUUUCUCUAUCCUCUCUUCCUCUCUCCUCUCUUUCUCUCUCCUCUCUUUCUCUCUCUUCUCUUCCUCUUUCUCUCUCCUCUCUCUCUCUUCUCUUUCUCUCUCCUCUCUUUCUCUUUCCCCUCUCUCUCUCCUCUCUUAUCUCCCUCUUUCUCUCUCCUCUCUUGCUCUCUCCUCUCUUGGUCACUCCUCUCUCCCUCUCUCUCUCCUCUUUCUCUCCCUCUCCUCUCUUUCUCUCUCCUCUCUUCCUCUCUCUCUCCCCCUCUCUCCUCUCUCUCACUCCUCUUUCGCUCUCUCCUCUCUCUCCUAUUUCUCUCCCCUCUCUCUCUCACUCCUCUCUCCCUCUCUCUCUCCUCUCUUUCUCUCUCCUCUCUUCCUCUCUCCUCUCUCUCUCCCCUCUCUCAUCUCUCUCUCUCACUCCUCUCUCUUCCCUCUUCCUCUCUUCCUCUCUCCCCUCUCUCUCUCCUCUCUCUCUCCUCUCUUUCUCUCUUUCGCUGUCCUCUCUUCCUCUCUCCUCUCUCGCUCUUUCCUCUCUCUCUCACUCUUUCUCACUCCUCUCCCUCUCUCCUCUCUUCUCUCUCUUUCUCUCUCCUCUCUUUCUCUCUCGCUCUCUCCCCUCUUUCUCUCUCCUCUCUCUCCCCUCUUUCUCUCUCCUCUCUUUCUCUAUCCUCUCUUUCUCUCUCCUCUCUUUCUCUCUCUUCUCUUCCUCUUUCUCUCUCCUCUCUCUCUCUUCUCUUUCUCUCUCCUCUCUUUCUCUUUCCCCUCUCAUUCUCUUUCCCCUCACUACUCUCAUCUCUUUCUCACUCCUCUCUUUCUCUCUAAUCUCUUUCUCUCUCCUCUUUCACUCCUCUCGUGCUCUCUCCUCUCUCACUCCUCUCUCUUUCUCUCUCCUUCUCUCUCUCUCACUCCUCUCUCUCUCUCUCUCUCUCUCUCUCUCUCUCUCUCCCCUAUUUCUCCUCUCACUCCUCUCUUUCUCUCCUCUUUAUCUCUACUCUCUCUCUCACUCCUCUCUCUCUCCUCCCUUUCUCUCUCCCCUCUCUCUCCUCUAUUUCUCUCUCCUUUCUUCCUCUCUCCUCUCUUCCUCUCUCCUCUUUCUCACUCCUCUCUCGCUCUCUCCUCUCUUUCUCUCUCCCCUCUCUCAUCUCUCUCUCACUCCUCUCUCUUCCCUCUUCCUCUCUUCCUCUCUCCCCUCUCUCUCUCCUCUCUCUCUCCUCUCUCUCUCCUCUCUUUCUCUCUCCUCUCUUUCUCUCUCGCUCUCUCCCCUCUUUCUCUCUCCUCUCUCGCCCCUCUUUCUCUCUCCUCUCUUUCUCUAUCCUCUCUUCCUCUCUCCUCUCUUUCUCUCUCCUCUCUUUCUCUCUCUUCUCUUCCUCUUUCUCUCUCCUCUCUCUCUCUUCUCUUUCUCUCUCCUCUCUUUCUCUUUCCCCUCUCUCUCUCCUCUCUUAUCUCCCUCUUUCUCUCUCCUCUCUUGCUCUCUCCUCUAUUGGUCAUUCCUCUCUCCCUCUCUCUCUCCUCUUUCUCUCCCUCUCCUCUCUUUCUCUCUCCUCUCUCUCUCCCCCUCUCUCCUCUCUCUCACUCCUCUUUCGCUCUCUCCUCUCUCUCCUAUUUCUCUCCCCUCUCUCUCUCACUCCUCUCUCCCUCUCUCUCUCCUCUCUUUCUCUCUCCUCUCUUCCUCUCUCCUCUCUCUCUCCCCUCUCUCAUCUCUCUCUCACUCCUCUCUCUUCCCUCUUCCUCUCUUCCUCUCUCUCCUCUCUCUCCCCUCUUUCUCUCUCCUCUCUUUCUCUAUCCUCUCUUUCUCUCUCCUCUCUUUCUCUCUCUUCUCUUCCUCUUUCUCUCUCCUCUCUCUCUCUUCUCUUUCUCUCUCCUCUCUUUCUAUUUCCCCUCUCUCUCUCUCCUCUCUUAUCUCCCUCUUUCUCUCUCCUCUCUCUCUCCUCUCUUUCUCUCUCCUCUCUUUCUCUCUCCUCUCUUGCUCUCUCCUCUCUUGCUCUCUCCUCUCCCUCUUUCUUUCUCAUCUCUUUCUCCCCCUCUCUCCUCUCUUGCACUCCUCUCUCUCACUCCUCUCUCUCCUCUCUCUCACUCCUCUCUCUCUCCUCACUCUCUUCUCUCUUUCUCUCUCUCCUCUCUCGCUCUCUCCUCUUUCUCUCCCUCUCCUCUCUUCCUCUCUCCUCUCUCUCUCCCCCUCUCUCCUCUCUCUCUCUCCUCUCUCUCACUCCUCUUUCGCUCUCUCCUCACUCUCUUCUCUCUUUCUCUCUCUCCUCUCUCGCUCUCUCCUCUUUCUCUCCCUCUCCUCUCUUUCUCUCUCCUCUCUUCCUCUCUCCUCUCUCUCUCCUCUCUCUCACUCCUCUUUCGCUCUCUCCUCUCUCUCCUAUUUCUCUUUCUCUCUCCUCUCUUCCUCUCUCCUCUCUCUCUCCCCCUCUCUCCUCUCUCUCUCUCCUCUCUCUCACUCCUCUUUCGCUCUCUCCUCUCUCUCCUCUGUCUCUCCCCUCUCUCUCUCACUCCUCUCUCCCUCUCCUCUCUUUCUCUCUCCUCUCUUCCUCUCUCUCUCCCCCUCUCUCCUCUCUCUCCUCUCUCCCUCUCCUCUCUUUCUCUCUCCUCUCCUCCUCUCUCCCCCUCUCUCCUCUCUCUCUCUCCUCUCUCUCACUCCUCUUUCGCUCUCUCCUCACUCUCUUCUCUCUUUCUCUCUCUCCUCUCUCGCUCUCUCCUCUUUCUCUCCCUCUCCUCUCUUUCUCUCUCCUCUCUUCCUCUCUCCUCUCUCUCUCCUCUCUCUCACUCCUCUUUCGCUCUCUCCUCUCUCUCCUAUUUCUCUUUCUCUCUCCUCUCUUCCUCUCUCCUCUCUCUCUCCCCCUCUCUCCUCUCUCUCUCUCCUCUCUCUCACUCCUCUUUCGCUCUCUCCUCUCUCUCCUAUUUCUCUCCCCUCUCUCUCUCACUCCUCUCUCCCUCUCUCCUCUCUUUCUCUCUCCUCUCUUCCUCUCUCCUCUCUCUCUCCCCCUCUCUCCUCUCUCUCUCUCCUCUCUCUCACUCCUCUUUCGCUCUCUCCUCUCUCUCCUCUGUCUCUCCCCUCUCUCUCUCACUCCUCUCUCCCUCUCCUCUCUUUCUCUCUCCUCUCUUUCUCUCUCCUCUCUUCCUCUCUCUCUCCCCCUCUCUCCUCUCUCUCCUCUCGUUCUCUCUCCUCUCUUUCUCUUUCCCAUCUCUCCCUCUCUCCCUCUUUCUCUCUCUGGCUCUUUCUCUCUCCUCUCUUUGGCUCUUUCUCUCUCCUCUCUUUGGCUCAUUCUCUCUCCUCUCUCGCUCCCUCUUUCUCCCUCCUCUCUCUCUCCUCUCCUCUCCCAGAGUGGGGAGUGGAAGGGAGGGGAGGCAGGGGACACUCAGUCAUAUCCAUGCACAUGGGCGUCACAGACGGAUAA
rnacentral:lncRNA from 1 species